AAGUAUAAUACAUAUGAUGGACAUCGAUAAUCAUAGGCGUUUACUUUUACUAACCAACCAGCCAACCAUUUGCGCAAAGUGCAGCAAUGGAACGUUCAUAAAACAAAGUUACAAAAUUGCCCCUAGUGGGUAUCAGGUCUUAUCGUCACAAAGGUCUUAAUGAAUUUCCUUUCUAAUAUUACAGGUGUUUUUUCGAAUUUGAGACGCCGAAACCCAGCUACGUGAUUUUAAAGCGAAAGUACGGGGCGGGCAGUUUCAUUCAAAACUUCAACAGUUACGAAUUUGGGUUCGGGAAUAUUUCCGUAGGGGACGGGUGGAUAGGUCUGAGUCGCAUCAAGGCUCUGGCAGACGCUGGUUACAAAAUGCUCAACAUGACGAUGCAGGACUGCCAAAAUACGCGUAAAACCAUCGUCUACAGUCACUUCUCGCUGGGAUCCAAGCCGGAUUAUAAGUUGAACAUCUACAGAUACGCUUCCGAUAAGGUCCGUCCUGAAGACUUCUCCGCCAACAACGGGCGGCCGUUCGCGACCUACGAUAAACUAGAUGACCACGAAUGCGCACUCCACAUGCGCGCCGGUUGGUGGUACAACUUCUGUUCAAACACCUUGCCAACCGGCAAAUACUACAAGCCCUGCGGAUCGUACACCCCUCCCGGGUAGUACUAUGAUGGACUCUACUACAAGAAUUGGCGCGGUAGAGACUACUCGCUGAAGUUCUUCAAAAUGGCGCUGUCCGUUGAGUAGGUAACGACCCUAGUAACUGAACAUCCAUGCACUUGGUGUUGAAGACGUAUUUGUGUUCUGUCAAUCGAGCAUUUUCUAGUAACUAUCCUGUAUUUGAUACAAUGCAUAUCCUUAUCCACAUACACGAUAUUGUAUUUAUUCAUGAACCCUCUUUCAAGAACUGUGUUGAAAAACAACCAUAAUAUCAAAUUGUUUUAUGAUA